GUGGAGGGCUGGGCCGUCUCGGGCUCGCACUCCCGCAGUAGCGGCGGCGGCGACACAGCUGACAGCUUGAGGGAUGCUCCGCUACGCAAGUCACAACAAUGCACUAUGACGUCACAUAAGGGAAUGGCGACUGCACAAAACAUCCCAGCCGAGGCGGCCGCGCUCGCGAGCAAACCGCACGAGACGCAGAGAAAAGAAAAGGCCUGCCACAGAUCUCGCGAGAGCUUGUGAAGACCCUGUAUUCAACCCACUCCUGUCUCCCUCCCCGCUGCCCUGUUCGCUUUACAAAUAGGGGGAAAUUAUUAAAACAGGACUACAUGUCCCAAGGUGCAAUACGCCCGAGCGCUGCGUUUGUGUUUGGUACGAGUACAGUGUGUGUUUUCGUUUGAAAGAUAAUCGUUUAUAUGCCGGGUGUUGUGGUUUGUGGGAGCUAAUAGAAAGGAAGGGUUUUUUUUGUCAGCAGUUCCAGGUCCGGUUCCAGGUGGGGGCGAGGCCCCCUCAACAAGAAAUGUCGGGUGCUCUUCCAUCGCAUUGGUCUCCAACAAACCCAAGGCAGCCGGCCAAUACAAGUUUGAAUCACGUCUUCUAUCUGCUAUGGCUCCCUUGUAUGGAAGGGCAAGGUGACAUCAUGACUGUGGACCAGGUCAAGGUCCCUGUUGCUGUGAAUUUGUUGAAGAGACAUUACAUUCAGCAUUUUUUAUUUAAUCAGUAUUCUAAAUAUUAAUUAGUUAAGCAAUCUAGUUAAUGAACUAAAUAGUACAUUAUUUUGGAGAUACCAUAAUUGCAUUAUGGUCAAGGUUGGUUUAGUAGUGUACAACUGUAAGAUUACUUAAGAUAUCAACAAAUAGAAGAAAAUAGAAUGUCAUUCCUAUUGCUACAAAAAAGGAAAUUCCUAGUCUUAAUAUUUCUGGAUUUUCUUAUAUAUUCCUACUGCUGACAACAUUGCUGCUUUCUUUUCUUUCUUUUUCAUAAUCCCUUGGGAUAAUUGUAUAAUUAUUUUGCACAUAAUUAUUGUUGUGCAAAAUAUUUACACAUAGACUAAUUUGGACUAUAAGUCUUCUGAGGUUUCCAACUGAUAUUAAUCCAAAGUUUUAGUUUAAAUAAAGCAAGAAAUUGUACCUUAAGCCAUAUGAGGUAAUUUGUGAAUAAACUAAUAUGUGAUAAUAGAGAGGAGUUUUUAAAUCUGACAGUCCAUCCACCUUAAUAAACCAUUAAGUUACAGGAAUUAGUGUACGAAUUAGUGUAUCAAAACCAAAAUGAGAAAUAUUUGUAGUUAUAUCUUAUCAUUACAGCACAACUAAUGUAUUUAGUGUAUUGCCUGCAUAGGUUUUUCUUUUAAGUAAUUUUUAUUUUGUAAUUGUUUUCAAUAUUAUAUCUAUUUUGCAUCUUUUGUAUUUUAUGAUUUAAAUCCUCAUAGGGCUUAUUGUUAAUAGGUAUGAUAAAAGUGUUGAACAUAACAAACAAAUUAAGUAUUUUUAAACUAUUACUUCAAUGUAUUUGUCGAUAACGAUUUAUAUCAGCAAUAAUGAUACUUUUAAAAGUAAGAAGCAAUGAUCUAACAUUCAUUGCUUCUAUUAUAUAAUUCUUUUCCUAAAAUUCUGAGAUUACAAAAGUAUAAGAAGAAAACUGUAAGGUAUUUUGUAAGAAGGUAUACAUCAGGUAGUAAAGGUUUGUAGGCUGUAGGUUGUAUAGGUCCAAACAACUGUUCAUUAGGUUACUCAGGCAAUAGAGGGAGAUGAGAUUAUCCAUUAAAAAUAUAUUACUUUUACAACUCCUGGCUUUGUCUUGUCUACUCAUUUGUAUUUCAGAAUUAUUUUUUCUGCUGUUUUCAGCAAUAAUGCCACCAUUAUUUGUGCUAACUCAUAACUAUUAAAAACCAGAAGA
rnacentral:lncRNA from 1 species